rnacentral:rRNA from 1 species
UACAGAGGUCUCAAGCGUUGUUCGGAUUCAUUGGGCGUAAAGGGCGCGUAGGCGGCGGGGUCAGUCGGGUGUGAAAUCUUGGGGCUUAACCCCGAAACGGCACUCGAAACUGCCCGGCUGGAGGGCCGGAGAGGAGAUCGGAAUUCACGGUGUAGCAGUGAAAUGCGUAGAGAUCGUGAGGAAGACCCGUGGCGAAGGCGGAUCUCUGGACGGCUAACUGACGCUGAGGCGCGAAGGCCAGGGGAGCGAACGGG